CAAGCUCAAAAGUUGCAUGCUUAACCGAGUGAAGCCACCCAGAUGCCCCAGCAAGCUGUCUAACUUUUGAUAGGACUGGUUAAGCUCUGUACGUUCAUGAAGAUCCACUACAUGAGAGGAGAGCCAUUACUGUAUAGAAGGAAUGACCGACAAAUGGAUGGGUCAAAAUCGUCCAGCUACAUUGACUUUACCCCUUCUGCUUAGCUCGGAACUGCAUGAUCCAGGGGAUACCCAGAGCUCUGAAGAGGAAAAGAUAGCAACAUGGGCAGCGUGGGAUGCCGUUAACAACUGAAUGGAUAAAUAUCAGAUUUCCAUCUUUUGUAAUACGAUUUCAGGCAAGAAUGGGUUGAACCUCUGUGGUACUGUUUGCUGCCCUGGUCCCUGAUGGCCAAUUCCAUCCUUUUGCAAAUGAAAAUAACUUUUUGCGUAGGGCCAUUGUAUAUACUAUGCUUUGCAGAAAAAGACACAUUCAGUUGCAAUCAUCUGUGGGUGAUGUUGUUUUUGGUUUUUUUUUUUUAAUUAUCGUGCAAUGUAGAUAUCCCACUGGGGAUAAAUUAUUAGCAUAUGACACAUUUCUUCUUGGGCAAGAUUAUGAAAAUUCAGUUACUGCAUAUACAGGUUUCAAGGUACCAAUUCUAUUCAUUACCUAAACUGCUUUUGGUUUUGUGCAGUUGAAGAAUAGUUUAAUGAGACUUCUAAAAUUUGGGGACAAAAUAUACAAAAGGAUUAUCACAUAACAUGAUUUCAAGCUACUAUGUCUUUACCAGAGUUUGUCUGCCUUCCCUCAGCCCUCCUUUCCCCCAAAGUCACCAUCAAUCUAUCAAGUAAUAUUAGGUUUGGUACCCGUUAUGUAAGCAUGUGAAGAGCCUAUUCAGUCAUUACUAAAAUUAAAACAACCACUAAAAAAUAAAA